rnacentral:rRNA from 1 species
GAUGAACGUUGGCGGCGUGCCUAAUACAUGCAAGUCGAGCGAACAGACGAGGAGCUUGCUCCUCUGACGUUAGCGGCGGACGGGUGAGUAACACGUGGAUAACCUACCUAUAAGACUGGGAUAACUUCGGGAAACCGGAGCUAAUACCGGAUAAUAUAUUGAACCGCAUGGUUCAAUAGUGAAAGACGGUUUUGCUGUCACUUAUAGAUGGAUCCGCGCCGCAUUAGCUAGUUGGUAAGGUAACAGCUUACCAAGGCAACGAUGCGUAGCCGACCUGAGAGGGUGAUCGGCCACACUGGAACUGAGACACGGUCCAGACUCCUACGGGAGGCAGCAGUAGGGAAUCUUCCGCAAUGGGCGAAAGCCUGACGGAGCAACGCCGCGUGAGUGAUGAAGGUCUUCGGAUCGUAAAACUCUGUUAUUAGGGAAGAACAAAUGUGUAAGUAACUAUGCACGUCUUGACGGUACCUAAUCAGAAAGCCACGGCUAACUACGUG